UACGGAAGGCAGCAGUGGGGAAUAUUGCACAAUGGGCGAAAGCCUGAUGCAGCUAUGCCGCGUGUAUGAAGAAGGCCUUAGGGUUGUAAAGUACUUUCAUCGGGGAGGAAAAAACAAAACUAAUAAUUUUAUUUCUUGACGUUACCCGAAAAAGAAGCACCGGCUAACUCCGUGCCAGCAGCCGCGGUAAUACGGAGGGUGCUAGCGUUAAUCAGAAUUACUGGGCGUAAAGAGCACGUAGGUGGUUUUUUUAAGUCAGAUGUGAAAUCCCUGGGCUUAACCUAGGAACUGCAUUUUGAAACUGAAAUACUAGAGUAUCGUAGAGGGAGGUAGAAUUCUAGGUGUAGCGGUGAAAUGCGUAGAUAUCUGGAGGAAUACCUGUGGCGAAAGCGGCCUCCUAAACGAAUACUGACACUGAGGUGCGAAAGCGUGGGGAACAAACAGGGAUUAGAUACC
rnacentral:rRNA from 1 species